rnacentral:rRNA from 1 species
AGGAUAAACGCUGGCGGCGUGCCUAAUGCAUGCAAGUCGAACGGAGUAGGCCUUCGGGCUUACUGAGUGGCGGACGGGUGAGGAACACGUACGAGACCUGCCCUCGGAUGGGGAAUAAGCCCUCGAAAGGGGGUCUAAUGCCGCAUACGGUCCCAAGCAGCAAGGUUUGGGAGGAAAGCUCGAGAGGGCGUCCGAGGAGGGGCGUGCGGCCGAUUAGCUAGUUGGUGGGGUAAAGGCCUACCAAGGCGACGAUCGGUAGCUGGUCUGAGAGGAUGGUCAGCCACACUGGGACUGAGAUACGGCCCAGACUCCUACGGGAGGCAGCAGCAGGGAAUCUUGCGCAAUGGGCGAAAGCCUGACGCAGCAACGCCGCGUGGGUGAAGAAGGCUCUCGGGUCGUAAAGCCCUUUUCUGGGGGAAGAAGUUCUGACGGUACCCCAGGAAGAAGCCACGGCUAACUACGUGCCAGCAGCCGC